GUCGAGAAUCUUCCGCAAUGCGCGAAAGCGUGACGGAGCGACACCGCGUGAUGGAUGAAGUCCUUCGGGGCGUAAACAUCUUUUAUAAAGGAGGAAAUUUUUGACGUUACUUUAUGAAUAAGGGGCUCCCAAUCUCGUGCCAGCAGGAGCGGUAAUACGAGAGCCUCAAGCGUUAUCCGGAAUCAUUGGGCGUAAAGGGUGCGUAGGUGGUUUGAUUAGUCUCCCGUUAAAACUUCGAGCUUAACUCGAAAAGAGCGGGGGAAACGGUCAAACUAGAGUAUGUGAGAGGUGUGUGGAACUCAUGGUGUAGGGGUGAAAUCCGUUGAUAUCAAGGGGAACACCAAAAGCGAAGGCAGCACACUGGCACAUCACUGACACUGAGGCACGAAACCUAAGGUAGCGAAUGGGAUUAGAUACCCUGGUAGUCC
rnacentral:rRNA from 1 species